UCCCCGUUACCGAGGCAGUCUGGUUAGAGAAAUACAACUAACCAUGAGGGUUGCGCUCGUUGAAGGACUUAACCUAACAUCUCACGACACGAGCUGACGACGACCAUGCAUCACCUGUCACCAGUCCAACUAAAUGACCAUCUAAUUUCUUAGACGUGCGACUGGGAUGUCAAACCCUGGUAAGGUUCUUCGCGUAGCCUCGAAUUAAACCACACGCUCCACCGCUUGUGCGGGUCCCCGUCAAUUCCUUUGAGUUUUAGCCUUGCGGCCGUACUCCCCAGGCGGGAUACUUAACGCGUUAGCUUCGCUACCGAGCGGGUCGAUACGCCCAACAGCUAGUAUCCAUCGUUUAGGGCGUGGACUAC
rnacentral:misc_RNA from 1 species